rnacentral:rRNA from 1 species
UACGGAAGGGGCAAGCGUUGUUCAGAAUCAUUGGGCGUAAAGGGCGCGUAGGUGGUUCUGUAUGUCUACCGUGAAAGCAUACAGCUCAACUGUAUUUUGUCGGUAGAAACUGCAGGACUUGAGGCUGGGAGGGGCUGGUGGAAUUCCCUGUGUAGCGGUGAAAUGCGUAGAGAUGGGGGAGAACACUCGUGGCGAAGGCGGCCAGCUAGACCAGUUCUGACACUGAGGCGCGACAGCGUGGGGAGCAAACAGG